GAUCGCAUAGUGUAGUUGGUUAUCACGUCAGUCUAACAAUUGUUGUGCACUGAAGGUGGGUGUUGGAACGUACAAUCUCCGUACAGUUGUUAACAAACCGAUAGGUCCCAGGAUCGAGCCCUGGUGCGAUCA